rnacentral:tRNA from 1 species
CAKAAAGUAGUUUAUUUUAAAAUACCAGCUUUGGGAGCUGGGGAAGGAGGUUUAAGUCCUCUUUUUCUGA